rnacentral:rRNA from 1 species
CACGUAGGGCGCGAGCGUUGUCCGGAAUUAUUGGGCGUAAAGAGCUUGUAGGCGGUUUGUCGCGUCUGCUGUGAAAUUUCGGGGCUCAACCCCGAACUUGCAGUGGGUACGGGCAGACUAGAGUGUGGUAGGGGAGACUGGAAUUCCUGGUGUAGCGGUGAAAUGCGCAGAUAUCAGGAGGAACACCGAUGGCGAAGGCAGGUCUCUGGGCCACUACUGACGCUGAGAAGCGAAAGCAUGGGGAGCGAACAGG